rnacentral:rRNA from 1 species
ACUACGGGUGGCAGCAGUGAGGAAUAUUGGUCAAUGGUCGGGAGUCUGAACCAGCCAAGCCGCGUGAGGGAUGAAGGUACAGAGUAUUGUAAACCUCUUUUGUCAGGGAACAAAGGCGGGGACGUGUCCCCGGAUGAGUGUACCUGAAGAAAAAGCAUCGGCUAACUCCGUGCCAGCAGCCGCGGUAAUACGGAGGAUGCGAGCGUUAUCCGGAUUUAUUGGGUUUAAAGGGUGCGCAGGGGGUCUGGUAAGUCAGAGGUGAAAGCUCGGGGCCCAACCCCCGACUGGCGUUUGAUACUGGCAGUCUCGAGUUGGAGAGAAGUAUGCGGAAUGCGUGGUGUAGCGGUGAAAUGCAUAGAUAUCGCGCAGAACCCCGAUUGCGAAGGCAGCAUGCCGGCUCCACACUGACGCUGAGGCACGAAAGCGUGGGUAUCGAACAGGAUUAGAUACCCUAGUAGUC